rnacentral:rRNA from 1 species
UACGUAGGGUGCAAGCGUUGUCCGGAAUUAUUGGGCGUAAAGAGCUCGUAGGCGGUCUGUCGCGUCGGCUGUGAAAUCCCGAGGCUCAACCUCGGGUCUGCAGUCGAUACGGGCAAACUGGAGUGUUGCAGGGGAGACUGGAAUUCCUGGUGUAGCGGUGAAAUGCGCAGAUAUCAGGAGGAACACCGGUGGCGAAGGCGGGUCUCUGGGCAACAACUGACGCUGAGACGCGAAAGCGUGGGGAGCAAACAGG